GUCUGUCUGGACAUUCCUGGGAGAAAGACCACUCAACCUCAUCAUUUAUGAAGUUAUUGAUAGACUUAUCUACAAGAUUUUUCAGACGAGAAUUGGCUGGUAGUCUCAUUUUUCUUCACAUGAGAGAACAUUGGCAAGACAGUUGUUCUGCACAGAGAAUUCUACUGCACCAAAGCCCCAAAUCAUUUCAAAUGAAUGAGUAUUGCAUUGGCUGGGACUCAUCCCUUGGGGGUAUUUGCUUGUUUGGUUACAAUACAGCUUCAAUAAUUGAGGUCUCUUUUUUCCCAGUGAAAUAUUACAAUCAACUAUGGUCAAUUUAAGUAACUUUGAGUUAAUGUAAAACCAGAUUUUGUGACAUCUGAAAUUACAAGAUGAUUUUUAAA